AUGCAGGACAAGGGAGCUGCACCACGGGAGGCUCCUCAGCCCCUUCAUCAGUGCUUGGGUGUCCAAACCUCUUCUGCGUUCCAGGUUUGCUCCCAGGGACAAGGCUCUAACUCUUGCUAUAGGGGAACAAGUUCUGACCCUUGCUGCAGGGACCGUAAUUCCCAGCUUCCUCCUGCUUCCCCUUCAUCCCCAAGGAAAAGCAGAGCAGAAGCUGCUGGUUGCCCUGGGAGGAGCAGCCUGAAAACAGACCUCGAGUCAUCACCCUGUGUGAGCCCUGGGGGUGUGUGUGUGUGUGUGCUGCUUGUUCCCCUUCCACAGGUAAGUGUCGUGGAUGGAAGGAGGGUUUGCUCCAUGCCAGCACUUCCCAGCUCCCAUAGGAUCAGGGAUCGGAUGGGUUCCAUGGGGCAGAGCUCAGACUCUCACAGGUCUGGGGGUGUUGUGCUCCUGCUGCCAGGGCCCAUCCGGGCUGGAAGGGACCCGUGGUUCUGGAUGCCUCUGGCCCCCCAAGUGAUGCUGCACCUUCAGUCCAUGGGGUGCAGCACGAGGGAUCUGCUUGAGGCUCAGGGUUUGCUUUGUGCUGCUUCCCACCCUCUUCCCAUUGCUCCAAGCAGUUCGGGCAGGCAGAAGGGUCACUUCUUCCUAUCUUCAUCUCCAGCUUCCCCUUCCCUCUCCCCAUCAGCGUUCACUUCCCAGUGUGCUGCUGGGAGCCUGGUUGUGCCGCCUCAAGGAUGCUGUCGAUCCUUCCCUGGAGCUGGCUUUGAAUCCAUUCUAUUUAUUCAGAUCCCUGUGGAUCCCGUCCCUCCUCCACGAGCAUUCCUCAUCCUCCCUUUGCACAGCUCCCGAGUUUCAGGGUGGCCGAGGACAAACCGUGUCCUGGGAGCAUCAUCAGCAACCGGUGUCUUUGCACAGCUGGAGAUGGGGCAGGGCAGAGCUGAUGGGGAUUUCCAAGUCAGAUUUGAUGGGAUUUUCCUUGUGGCAGAGCCCAGUUUUCAUGGGGGGAAGCUCCCCAAGACUGCAGAACCCAAAGCGUUUUCGUUGUCGUUUUCCAGACAGGGUUGA
rnacentral:lncRNA from 14 species